GUCGUUUUGGUCACUAAUAAACACGAUUGUGGAGGUGCAGAGUAUGCAAGAAAUAAGGAAAUCCCCGUUAUUUUGUUUCCUAGAACCAAAGAUGAACCUGAUGGACUAUCCCCGAGUGACCUUUUAUCUGCUCUUAGGGAAUUUGAUGUUGACUUCAUUCUUCUAGCUGGAUAUCUCAAACUUAUACCAGUAGAAUUGAUCCAAGCUUAUCCCAAAUGCAUAUUAAAUAUCCAUCCAUCACUUCUUCCAGCCUUUGGAGGCAAAGGCUACUAUGGUAUGAAGGUUCAUAAAGCAGUCAUCGCUUCUGGAGCAAGAUACUCGGGGGCAACUAUCCAUUUUGUUGACCAGC
rnacentral:misc_RNA from 1 species